rnacentral:tRNA from 1 species
GGCUGCGUCGUCCGAGUUGGCGCGACCCCCGGUUGGGGAUCGGGAUCCUCCUGGUGGCGCUGUCCGUGGCACUCGGAUCGUGGGCC